UGUGUGAGAUGCAAGGCAAGUCAUAGUGAAUCUUUACUUGGCAAGUAGUUGUCUGGGGAAGAGGAAGAGUUGGCUCACUACAGAAGGUUUUGAUUUUUAAACUGAGAAGGCAGCUGCACAACAGGAAGCUAUCCAACAAAGGGAGAGGAAAUCCUGGGUUGCUUGGUUCAACGGAAUAUAAAUGAAGAAAACAUUAUGAAUAAGGAGUCAAAGCUUGCAGAAGACAUUUUGUGUCAGCUUCUGACCGCUGAUUUGAAAACAUGCAACAGCUGAUGUAAGGUUUCUGCACACCUGAAUCCUACAGAGCUACCUGUGGGGAGCAGGAGGAAGAAUUUACUGUCUCUGCCUGCAGCACUGCUUGGAUUAAAGGCCCACUGUCGAGCUAUGCAACCACCAUCACCUCUACCAUGUCAAAAUACCUCCUAGUAACUACCUAGAUGAAGAGCAGUCAGCUUACUAGGAAACUCUGUCCUUUCCUUGUAGAUGGGCAUCUCACCCCAGUGAUUCAUGCAUUUGUCACCUCCAGCAUGAACCCCCUGUAAAUGGAGUGGAAUCCGAAACCUGUGAAUGGAUCCAGAAGGUGACUGCUGACUUUUUCCAUGGUGUAAGGUGCUGUUAGCACAGUAUGUCUGAAUUCAGGUACCUCAGAAAGCUUCCACUUUCUGUCAGUACCUGUUUACAGCCCUAGCCACCAUUUUCAAAGCAAGUGAAGAAAUUUCAGAGACAGCUGCAUACCUCUGAUGUGCCUUAGAUAAUAGUUUU